rnacentral:tRNA from 1 species
GCAAGUGUGGCGGAGUGGUCAAACGCACCAGACUGUAAAUCUGGCGACCUUGUGUCUACGGUGGUUCAAAUCCACCCGCUUGCACCA